UAGUCCACGCCGUAAACGAUGUCUACUAGCCGUUGGGGAACUUGAGUCCUUAGUGGCGCAGCUAACGCACUAAGUAGACCGCCUGGGGAGUACGGCCGCAAGGUUAAAACUCAAAUGAAUUGACGGGGGCCCGCACAAGCGGUGGAGCAUGUGGUUUAAUUCGAUGCAACGCGAAGAACCUUACCAGGUCUUGACAUCCUGCGAAGAUACCAGAGAUGGUUUCGUGCCUUCGGGAACGCAGUGACAGGUGCUGCAUGGCUGUCGUCAGCUCGUGUCGUGAGAUGUUGGGUUAAGUCCCGUAACGAGCGCAACCCUUGUCCUUAGUUGCUAGCAGGUCAUGCUGAGAACUCUAAGGAGACUGCCGGUGACAAACCGGGAGGAAGGUGGGGGACGACGUCAAGUCAUCAUGGCCCUUACGACCUGGGGCUACACACGUGCUACAAUGGAACGCACAGAGGGGCAGCAAAGGGCGCGAGCUGGGAGC
rnacentral:rRNA from 1 species